GAUGAACGCUGGCGGCGUGCCUAAUACAUGCAAGUCGAGCGAACAGACGAGGAGCUUGCUCCUCUGACGUUAGCGGCGGACGGGUGGGUAACACGUGGAUAACCUCCCUAUAAGACUGGGAUAACUUCGGGAAACCGGAGCUAAUACCGGAUAAUAUAUUGAACCGCAUGGUUCAAUAGUGAAAGACGGUUUUGCUGUCACUUAUAGAUGGAUCCGCGCCGCAUUAGCUAGUUGGUAAGGUAACGGCUUACCAAGGCGACGAUGCGUAGCCGACCUGAGAGGGUGAUCGGCCACACUGGAACUGAGACACGGUCCAGACUCCUACGGGAGGCAGCAGUAGGGAAUCUUCCGCAAUGGGCGAAAGCCUGACGGAGCAACGCCGCGUGAGUGAUGAAGGUCUUCGGAUCGUAAAACUCUGUUAUUAGGGAAGAACAAAUGUGUAAGUAACUAUGCACGUCUUGACGGUACCUAAUCAGAAAGCCACGGCUAACUACGUG
rnacentral:rRNA from 1 species